GCCCGGUUGGCACAAUUGGUUAGCGCGUCGACCUUUUAAGUCGAAGGUUAUGAGUUCGAGCCUCAUACUGGGCG
rfam:Oidiodendron maius Zn unplaced genomic scaffold scaffold_1, whole genome shotgun sequence.